UUUAACUGGCUUGCCCUCUUGAUGGUCCUUCCGGAGGAGGAGAAGAGCACACCUUACGUAGCCAUGGAGAAGACCUCAUUCUAACCCACAGCAUGAGGCCAAGCCCAGCCAAGCCCAGAUCCUGACAAACCACAGGAAGAGAAGAAUCAUACAUCUGAAAAAAAUUAUAGCACCAAAAACACAGGCACAGACAGUCUGGUGGGCUAAGUGACUUCUUCCAGCCAAUGAGUCAGAAAAGCUAAAUCAUAGUGUUGUGACUGAGAACGGGACAACUCCCUGAUGGCGCUGGAGGAAGGAACUAUGCUUAAGAGACUGCCUCUUCAAGAAGAAAAGAUUCCCAGAUUCGGCUCUCCAGUCUUUCAGGAAAUGGGAGAUCAAUGAGAAUCUUCAGUCUGGUUUUGCAGUCGGAGCUUCACCUUGACCCUUGCACCUGACAAUCAGAGCCAUUUCUGCAGCUGCAUCGCUCUGCCUCAAGUAUGACUCAGCCCUCCCUCUCCCAGCAUGGCCUCCAGCCAAUAGGACUCCAUGUUCUGCAUAGUCCAGUCUGGCACCUGGGCUACUGUACCUUCUUCAAGCCCUCCAGCUCCUCAAGAAAAGCUCUCCAUGACCUCUCUAACCUCUAGGGCUGCGUUGCCAAUGGCCUAUUUAAAAUUGCCACCUGAAUGUCUUCCAGGCAUGUUAUGCUUAAACUUACAGUUGGAUCCUAUCUCCCAUCUACCAACCCAUCUUGAUAAAUAAUUCCUUCUUUCUAUGGUUGCUGACACCAGCAAUGUGGAGACAUCUUUCAGAGGCUCCUUACCUAUGCCCCCACAUCAAGGCCUGUCCUGUGAAUUCAACUUCCAAAACCCAGGAAGAGCACUCUUUAUUCUCCAGUUACCUGACUGCUGGAUUAGCUGACAUUCUCUAUUUCCUCUAAAAAAGGACAUUGACUCAGGACCAUGGCACACUGAAUGUUUGCAGCCAAUACAAAAUUUAAUUCCUGGUAUCACCCU